rnacentral:rRNA from 1 species
CCUGGUUGAUUCUGCCAGUAGUCAUAUGCUUGUCUCAAAGAUUAAGCCAUGCAUGUCUAAGUAUAAGCAACUUUGUACUGUGAAACUGCGAAUGGCUCAUUAAAUCAGUUAUAGUUUAUUUGAUGGUUUUUGCUACAUGGAUAACUGUGGUAAUUCUAGAGCUAAUACAUGCAUUCAAGCCCCGACUUCUGGAAGGGGUGUAUUUAUUAGAUAAAAAUCAACUUUGUUGGUGAAUCAUAAUAACUUCUCGGACCGCAUGGCCUCGUGCUGGCGGUGCUUCAUUCAAAUAUCUGCCCUAUCAACUGUCGAUGGUAGGAUAGAGGCCUACCAUGGUUGCAACGGGUAACGGGGAAUAAGGGUUCGAUUCCGGAGAGGGAGCCUGAGAAACGGCUACCACAUCCAAGGAAGGCAGCAGGCGCGCAAAUUACCCAAUCCCAACACGGGGAGGUAGUGACAAUAUGUAACAAUAUACGGCCUUAUACGUCGUAUAAUUGGAAUGAGUACAAUUUAAAUCCCUUAACGAGGAACAAUUGGAGGGCAAGUCUGGUGCCAGCAGCCGCGGUAAUUCCAGCUCCAAUAGCGUAUAUUAAAGUUGUUGCAGUUAAAAAGCUCGUAGUUGGACCUUGGACCUGGACAGGCGGUCCGCCUCACGGCGAGUACUGUCUUGCUGGGUCUUUCCUCUUGGUGAUCUGUUGUUUCGGCAGCAGGGAACCAGGACCUUUACUUUGAAAAAAUUAGAGUGUUCAAAGCAAGCUCGACGCCGGAAUAUAUUAGCAUGGAAUAAUAAAAUAGGACGUGCGGUUCUAUUUUGUUGGUUUUUGG